rnacentral:rRNA from 1 species
AGCAGCCGCGGUAAUUCCAGCUCCAAUAGCGUAUAUUAAAGUUGUUGCAGUUAAAAAGCUCGUAGUUGAAUUUCGAGAUCAAAUUGUUGGUCGUGCCUCGGUACGUACUGGCACUAUUGAUUUCUCCCUUCUGAAGAACCUUGAUGUCAUUAAUUUGGUGUCUUGGGGAAUCAGGACCGUUACUUUGAAAAAUUAGAGUGUUUAAAGCAGGCUCACGCUUGAAUACAUUAGCAUGGAAUAAUGAAAUAGGACGUUUGAUUCUAUUUUGUUGGUUUCUAGGAUCGACGUAAUGAUUAAUAGGGAUAGUUGGGGGCAUUAGUAUUCAAUUGUCAGAGGUGAAAUUCUUGGAUUUAUUGAAGACUAACUACUGCGAAAGCAUUUGCCAAGGAUGUUUUCAUUAAUCAAGAACGAAAGUUAGGGGAUCGAAGACGAUCAGAUACCGUCGUAGUC